UACGUAGGGGGCAAGCGUUGUCCGGAAUCAUUGGGCGUAAAGAGCGCGUAGGCGGCCCGGUAAGUCCGCUGUGAAAGUCAAGGGCUCAACCCUUGAAUGCCGGUGGAUACUGUCGGGCUAGAGUCCGGAAGAGGCGAGUGGAAUUCCUGGUGUAGCGGUGAAAUGCGUAGAGAUCAGGAAGAACACCAGUGGCGAAGGCGCUCUGCUAGGCCGUAACUGACACUGAGGGACGAAAGCUAGGGGAGCGAAUGGG
rnacentral:rRNA from 1 species